GAAUUCUGACCGUAAGGACAGGUGGAGCGCAUACAAGUGAGAAUGCCGGUAUAAGUAACGAAAAGAUCAGUGAGAAUCUGAUCCGCCGAAAACCUAAGGGUUCCUGAGGAAGGCUCGUCCGCUCAGGGUAAGUCGGGACCUAAGGCGAGGCCGAAAGGCGUAGUCGAUGGACAACAGGUGGAAAUUCCUGUACCACCGUAGCCGUUAUGAGCAAUGGAGUGACGCAGAAGGAUAGUGACGCGAGCUGAUGGAUGCUCGUCCAAGCAGUGAGGCUGGUUAGUAGGCAAAUCCGCUAACCGUAAGGCUGGGCUGUGAUGGGGAGGGAAACUUAAGUACCGAAGGUCAUGAGUUCACACUGCCAAGAAAAGCUUCUAGCCAGGCGAAGGUGCCCGUACCGCAAACCGACACAGGUGGGUGAGAAGAGAAUUCUAAGGCGCGCGGAAGAACUCUCGUUAAGGAACUCGGCAAAAUGACCCCGUAACUUCGGGAGAAGGGGUGCCUCGGUAGGGUGAAUAGCCCGAGGGGGCCGCAGUGAAAAGGCCCAAGCGACUGUUUAGCAAAAACACAGGUCUGUGCGAAGCCGCAAGGCGAAGUAUACGGGCUGACGCCUGCCCGGUGCUGGAAGGUUAAGAGGAGUGGUUAGGGGCAACCCGAAGCUAUGAAUUGAAGCCCCAGUAAACGGCGGCCGUAACUAUAACGGUCCUAAGGUAGCGAAAUUCCUUGUCAGGUAAAUUCUGACCCGCACGAAUGGCGUAACGACUUGGGCGCUGUCUCAACGAGAGAUCCGGUGAAAUUUUAAUACCUGUGAAGAUGCAGGUUACCCGCGACAAGACGGAAAGACCCCAUGGAGCUUUACUGCAGCUUGAUAUUGGACUUUGGUACGAUCUGUACAGGAUAGGUGGGAGCCUUUGAAGCCUGAGCGCCAGCUUGGGUGGAGGC
rnacentral:ncRNA from 1 species